rnacentral:rRNA from 1 species
UAAGACGUAGGAGACGAGCGUUAUCCGGAUUUACUGGGCGUAAAGCGCGUGCAGGCGGCUCGUUAAGUUGGAUGUGAAAGCCCCUGGCUAAACUAGGGGAGGUCGUUCAAGACUGGCGGGCUAGAGUGCAGCAGAGGAGAGUGGAAUUCCGAGUGUAGCGGUAAAAUGCACAGAUAUUCGGAAGAACACCAGUGGCGAAGGCGGCUCUCUGGGCUGCAACUGACGCUCAGACGCGAAAGCUAGGGGAGCGAACGGGAUUAGAGACCCCGGUAGUCCUAGCCGUAAACGAUGUGAACUAGGCGUAGGCGGGUUUAAAUCCGACUGUGCCGGAGCGAACGCGAUAAGUUCACCACCUGGGGACUACGGCCGCAAGGUUAAAACUCAAAGGAAUUGACGGGGGCCCGCAC